CUUAGUUGAGGACGUUGUC
rnacentral:piRNA from 1 species